ACGGUGUAUAAAGUGAAUUGUCUGUGUGGAUAUGUUGUGCCAAUUAAUUAAACCUGCAUUCUAGUUAUUUUAUUUGACCAAUAAUGGGUAGUGUGCAGAGUUCCAUCGCGGCCUCCGUCUCCCUCUCUUGCGUGUAUUUCAUUUACGUUCAAAUCUACUGCUCCCACAAGCUUUUGCGAUCAAACGUGCUGAACGAGAGUCUCCCGAGUUUUGUUUAUCUUUACAUCAAAUACGCGACCAAAGCCGUGACGCGGACGACUGGCCGCCUGCACCCAGCGACCGCGGGGGAGCGUGACGUGGCUUACACGGUCCUCGACUGCAGGUAAGGUUGGAGACGCCCCUCUUGAGGAGGUUCUGCGGCGCAGCGGGUUAUGGUUGGGAUUACCCGGACACGGAAUACAGAGACGUGCCCGUGUGCUUCCCAGAGAUCCUGUUCCGCAGACUGCUGCUCAUGGUGCUGACCGAUGAGCACUUUAGACUCAGCCCAGCAGGUCUGUCUCGCGUGCGUCAGAGUUUGAAAACCCUGCAGCCAGUUGAUGAACUGAAGAAGGGUCCGUUCGUGCUGCAGGUCCGAGUUCAGGAGUACCGGCAGGUUGAUGCGGGGGUGGAGGUCGACGUCGGCCUGUCUGCCACUUCUCGUACGGGGUGCCCAGUGUGGGAAAGCGUCCUGACACUGCUGUCCAAAAAAGGGCCCCACAAACCUUUUAGAUCCGCACCCAAGAAUUCACACGAACGCCGACCCGAUGAUCCGGCUCCAGAAAACGUGAAGGAGAUCGAGGUCAGAGUUCCCCGGGCUACUGGACUGCAGCGUGUUUGGUUCUUCUGUGACUACUCGCCCCAUCGGCUCCUCUCUCUGCCGGCCAGGCUCUUUGGCUCCAGAACGCAGACGGCACCAGCUCUCUGGAUGCUCUCUGUCUGCCUGGCUGAAAUAGAAAAGCACAAAGGGGUCAGAGUUAUCACUGCUCCCGUCAACAUCACUGCCGAAUUUAAGGAGCCUCUUUUUGUGCCAAGCAGAGUGAAGAUCAAGUUUUGGGAGAGAAACAGGCAUCAGUCUUCUGCCCAGGAGCUCGUCUUCUACAUGCAGCAACAUGGGAGCAACACAUUUCACUUGAUGGGAUUGAUUUCUAGAUGUAAACGCGUGCAGCUGUGGAGCUCGUUGAACCUGGGGGGAGGGGAGGAGAGAAACAUGCGGAGAGCAUCCCGUCACUUCCCUCCAUGCACGCGCUGGGAGCAGGUGUAGUGACAUGAGAAGAGGUGGGUGAAGAGUCUCGGUUUACAGGAGAAGUCGUUUUUUUUUCCAGCUGAACUUCCGAUCGGAGGGACACAUGCUGGUUCAUCCCACUUCUGCCAUGUGAUUUUCACUGCAGCAACUUGAGGAAGAGUUCCACCGUGUAAGGCUUAUGCAAGCAAAAAUACAUGAAGAAGCAAAGAAAAGGCAACGCCAGGAUCGCCUUCUCUUCCCCACCGGAGAACAGCAGUGUGCAGGUCUGCACUGACUACCAGAGGGGGGCUUCCGUGACUCCUGGGAACGCUCACGCUGUGGAAAAUGGCCCCGAAGACAGGAGAGACCGGACGGCCGGCCGAGAACGCGCAGGCGGGAUGUGCGCCGCUCCAGACGUGGCUUCAAACAGCCGUGACCCGAGGUGCAGCAUGAAAGACGAGGGCGUCGGAGGGGACUCCACGUGGGCGAUGGAUUCGAGCAGCCGCGCAUACUUGGGACCCGAGGACAACUCCACGGACCCGCACGAGACCCUGACAGAGUCCUCCACUCUGACCUUUGUGGACGUUCACGCCCUGGAGGAAUCGGCAGAGGGCCACAGCCUGCACGGGUUGGGGAUGGUUUACCUGAAGGAGUUUGUGCUGAUAGACGACGACGACGACGGAGACAUGUCCCUGAGGGAGAAAACGGUGACCGACCUGUCCGUCAUGGAUGGGAAAGCUGCUGACCUGGUGUGUGGCAGGUUUUUGUCCACCUCCAGUGGCUCAUUAUCGGAGUGUAAGGGAGAAUUCGAGGCUCGGGACGCACCUCCAGCUGAGGACGCUGAGGCCGCAUGUGAAAAGCAGCGCUGCUGUUUCUGCACUGUUUCAUGAACAAGCAGGACUCUGUUUGUGUGAAGUUGGAUCAGACGACUCUGUUACGAUCACUCUGGCAAAUAACUGCUUUCUUGUUUUAUAUGUGCGUUCCUGUUGAAUUGCAGAGCAAACUCAAAGGUUGUGUAAUUUGUUUUUAUUUUACUUAAUAUUUAUUCAAAAUUAAAGAAGCAUAUUUGUUUCAAAUGUCAGCCACUUUGAACACUCGGUAGCCUGAUUCUAAAAUGUAUGUAUGCGAAUAAUACUUCCUGCUUGAUUCACGUUUUUAAGUUUAACAAACACAUCUCUGAACUUCAUCAGACAGUUUUUAUACUAGAAAAUGCAUGUUCCUUUAAUAUUUUAUGUGAAUGACAGAUUUUGGGGUAACUAAAAAGGUCUAAAACUAUCAGGUGCUUACAACAAAUA